rnacentral:rRNA from 1 species
UGGGGAAUUUUGGACAAUGGGCGAAAGCCUGAUCCAGCAAUGCCGCGUGUGUGAAGAAGGCCUUCGGGUUGUAAAGCACUUUUGUCCGGAAAGAAAUCCUUGGCUCUAAUACAGUCGGGGGAUGACGGUACCGGAAGAAUAAGCACCGGCUAACUACGUGCCAGCAGCCGCGGUAAUACGUAGGGUGCAAGCGUUAAUCGGAAUUACUGGGCGUAAAGCGUGCGCAGGCGGUUUGCUAAGACCGAUGUGAAAUCCCCGGGCUCAACCUGGGAACUGCAUUGGUGACUGGCAGGCUAGAGUAUGGCAGAGGGGGGUAGAAUUCCACGUGUAGCAGUGAAAUGCGUAGAGAUGUGGAGGAAUACCGAUGGCGAAGGCAGCCCCCUGGGCCAAUACUGACGCUCAUGCACGAAAGCGUGGGGAGCAAAACAGGAUUAGAUACCCUGGUAGUCCACGCCCUAAACGAUGUCAACUAGUUGUUGGGGAUUCAUUUCCUUAGUAACGUAGCUAACGCGUGAAGUUGACCGCCUGGGGAGUACGGUCGCGAGAUUAAAACUCAAAGGAAUUGACGGGGUCAUAGCUGUUUCCU